rnacentral:rRNA from 1 species
UGGGGAAUCUUCCGCAAUGGACGAAAGUCUGACGGAGCAACGCCGCGUGUAUGAUGAAGGUCUUCGGAUUGUAAAGUACUGUCAUUGGGGAAGAACGGUUUUCUUGAAAAGAUUGAGAAGACAUGACGGUACCCAAGGAGGAAGCCCCGGCUAACUACGUGCCAGCAGCCGCGGUAAUACGUAGGGGGCAAGCGUUGUCCGGAAUUAUUGGGCGUAAAGGGCGCGUAGGCGGGCCUUUAAGUCCGGUGUGAAAGAUCAGGGCUCAACCCUGAGAGUGCAUCGGAAACUGGAGGCCUUGAGGACAGGAGAGGAAAGUGGAAUUCCACGUGUAGCGGUGAAAUGCGUAGAUAUGUGGAGGAACACCAGUGGCGAAGGCGACUUUCUGGACUGUAACUGACGCUGAGGCGCGAAAGCGUGGGGAGCAAACAGGAUUAGAUACCCUGGUAGUCCACGCCGUAAACGAUGAGUGCUAGGUGUAGAGGGUAUCGACCCCUUCUGUGCCGCAGUUAACACAAUAAGCACUCCCGCCUGGGGAGUACGGCCGCAAGGUUGAAACUUAAAGGAAUUGACGGGGUCAUAGCUG